AGUGAACGCUGGCGGUAGGCCUAACACAUGCAAGUCGAACGGCAGCACAGUAAUAGCUUGCUCUUACGGGUGGCGAGUGGCGGACGGGUGAGGAAUACAUCGGAAUCUACUUUUUCGUGGGGGAUAACGUAGGGAAACUUACGCUAAUACCGCAUACGACCUACGGGUGAAAGCAGGGGAUCUUCGGACCUUGCGCGAUCGAAUGAGCUGAUGUCGGAUUAGCUAGUUGGCGGGGUAAAGGCCCACCAAGGCGACGAUCCGUAGCUGGUCUGAGAGGAUGAUCAGCCACACUGGAACUGAGACACGGUCCAGACUCCUACGGGAGGCAGCAGUGGGGAAUAUUGGACAAUGGGCGCAAGCCUGAUCCAGCCAUACCGCGUGUGUGAAGAAGGCCUUCGGGUUGUAAAGCCCUUUUGUUGGGAAAGAAAAGCAGCAGGUUAAUACCCCGCUGUUCUGACGGUACCCAAAGAAUAAGCACCGGCUAACUUCGUG
rnacentral:rRNA from 1 species